UCGCAGUGAUGACGACUUUCCCUGCCAUUCGUAGUUUCCACCAGAGGUCACCAGACCGAUGACGGCCCAACCUUCCUUGGAUGUCUGAGCGA